GCUGGUUAAUUCUGGAGUUUAAAUUCUUUUCACGCUUUGUGUUACAGAAACUGCAAGACACAUUAAGAAGCUGAUGAAGAUAAUCUAUGAAGACAAAAAGAACUGAAAGAGUAAUUCUGUGUGGUGAGCAAAAACCAUUCUUCAAUUUUUGAUUCACUGUUUUUAUUGUGAGAAGUUUUUUUCUUCAGUUAAAUGGCUGUUCAUGUUGUUUCUUCAGAUGGUGAAAUAGAACCAGACAGGAAACCAGCUAAGAGAAUUUCUCAGAUAUUUCAGUCUUCUGUUAGAGCRUUUAUAGAGGCAAUGUUUGACUGCAAGAUGUGUUCAGAGUUCAGCGCUGGGUCAGCUAGAUGGAGAACUACGGCAGAAUCCACAAUUUGCAGGUAAAAUUAUCCAUAACUGAUGUAGUGAAUACAAUUAAUGUCAGCUGUGAAACUGCAAACUAAG
rnacentral:lncRNA from 1 species